GCAAGCCUCGACAGGGGUUAUUCUGGCUGGUGCCUCUGAAAUGUCCUGACUCGGGGCGAUAUUCUGCCGCUUUGCACCGCUUCCUCCUUUUUUCUCCUAGCUGAGUGUAAUCAGAACUAACUUCCCUGAAGCAGAGCCUGUGCCAGGUGAUAAGGCAAUACCAGUGAAUGGAGUUACAGCAGGAUUAAGCAGAUGUCUGACAGCACUGCGAUAAAGAUGCCUUCUAGCUGAGUAAAUGUCUUCAAAGGAGCUGCAGGAAAACUGAUAGCAAGGCGAAAACAGAAAUCUCUGUCGGUGAACAGAAAGAAUCAAUGGGCAAGGAACUAUGAUUUUAAUGUAUAACAUCCAGAUUACACAUUUCCAGAGCUUCUUGAAGCUUUAAGCUCCCUACAGACUGUUGAGAGCAGAAUGAUCUCUAACUUCCUGAGAGGAGGUCACCUCCAGGGUGGUAGAACACAGUGGCUUCACCGGCAGAGAGCGGUUGACAAGUAGCACUUUUUAUCCACCUGAAACUGGAAGGAAAGAUGGAGGGAAGCAGAAUGGUGUGACCUGACCUGGUACAAGUCUACAACAAAUUGCGAGAAACGCAACAGUUGUUCAGCGUAUCGCAUUGGGGACUGGAAAGACCAGUAGAGCAGAAUGGGGUGACCCCCAGCAGUGCUUUAAAGGUCCAAAAGUUACAAAGAAAAAUUAUGGGUUAAACAAAAAUGGUUAAAUAGAAUAUUAGAUGAUUGGUGGAAAACAUACAUUUAUUGAGAUGUAACAGUCAAUUGCAUGGCUGUUAAACAGCUAUAACUAUAUAUUAAAUAAUCAGUUCAGCUGGUAUUUAUUUAAUAUAAUCGCAGCCUAUUAAACCUGAAUUAAGUACAGAGUUAAGUGUCUGUGGGACACACAGCUGAAAAUUUUGCCAGGAACAUUUUAUGUUGCCUCAAACCUUUUGUGGAAAACUCCCACAGACACAGUUGCUGCAAAAUUACCCUUCAUUUGACUGGGGAAACACAAUACGAGAUUUUUAAUUUUGACCUUAACUGCAGCAGAGUUAUUUAGCAACUUUUACCCAGUCCCAGAUUUAAUGCAAAUGGAUAAUUUCUGUAGAUCUUUCUUUUUUUUUUUUUUUUUGACUUUUUGGAACUGUUCCUUUGCAGAUUUUGUAAGGUUUAUUUUGCUUUACUUGCACACCUCUGCUCCUCUGAUUCCCUGAUACUUAUGCAGUUAUUCACAUCAGUACAAAGUGAGUCCAAAGUAAAUGUAAAGUACUGCUAAAUUGACAUGGAAUUUACUCUGACUGGCUGCAAUCAAAAAUGGGUGAUGUGAAUAAGGAAAAACUGUUUCACCCUGGAAAUGCAAGGUUGGAGGACCCAAGGGGCAGUAUAAUCACAAACUUCCAACAACCUCUCAUUUUCUUUCUAUCCGCUUAUGGACACUUGCAACCUGGAUAAUGGGCAUGGGCUAUAGAUAUGUUUGAAUGGCCAGUGAGAUUGGUUUGACUUGUUGUGUGUUCUGGUGCUGCUCUGAAUGGUAUUGGUGCCAAAUACCUCGGGGCUAGCACAUGCUGACAGCCAGCACAAAACUUGGAUUCGUAAGAUUGCUGCUGUUUGGUGGAAUUGCUCUUGGUUUGGGAAAAGGCACUUCUGUUUUUGUUUACUUUAAUCCUUUUAUUUUUCCUUUUUAAUGACAAAUGAAACCAAGCUAGGACUUUUUUCUUUCAAAAUAAAUAUUCAGACAGAGUGCCACAUAAA